UGUAAGCUCACAGGCUGGUCUAUUGAUCAGUUAUUUGAAAUCUGUACUAGGCUCAUUACAAAAGUAAUAAUACUUCAGGUUGUACACAUCGUCUUAUAUGGAUAUCUCAGUUAACUGCAGAACUAAUACGUGAAUAAAUCAAGAGAGAGAUAAUCUUAUAUACAAAUAUUUGGCUAUGAUUAGCAAUAUUUAACGGCGUUAGACUACGGUCGCGCCGAGUAGACGGAAAAUUGCUAAGUGGAAUUUAUUCUGCUUAUGAGAAGAGGCGAGAGUAUAACUCUCAGUGCAACCCGCCAACGUGGAGAGUUUCUUCACAAUUAGUUUGGUUUCUGCAAUAUAGUUUUGGAAAGACUAUGAUUGUUACGAGAAAUUAUCGUUUGAUUUCGGAGAGAAAGCCUAAUAAACGGCUAUCACAUCUAAGGAAGGCAGCAGGCGCGAAAAUUACCCAAUUAUAACUCAUAGAGGUAGUAAAUAAGUAUAACGAUCUCCUUUUCAAUUGAUUAGGAGGGUAAGUCCAAAAGGACUUUUGCAAUGAGUACAAUUUAAAAUUCAGUAUAAGUAGCAAUUAGAGGACAAGUCUGGUGCCAGCACCCGCGGUAAUUCCAGCUCUAAGAGUAUAUAUUAAUGUUGUUGCGGUUAAAACGUUCGUAGUUGUAAUAAAAUAUAUUUUGCAGUGGUCGUCGUCUUGGUUGUCCAAAGGUCUCUCCGGAGGCGUGCGGGCUUAGGUACUCCGGUGCCACCGAGUCGGCUUCGGUUUAGAUGUCUAGUUUCAGGCUUUGAUAAGCGGUGCUGGACUGAUGAGUGGCUGUUGUGAAGUAAAUUGUAAUGUGGUCGUGAGCAAAUCUGUGUGCUUAAAGCGCUCAAAUACAGGGAGACACAGUGUGUCUUUCACAAUCGAUUAUUUGCUAUAGCACGAUACCAUCUAGAAGUCGAUUGCCAAUCUUUGAUUGGUGGUCUAUGCGAUAAAUGAGAUAUUGAUUCAAGUGUGCCAUACCGGCGGGAUAGAGGUGAAAUUCAAUGACCCUGUCGUGAUGACCAAAGGCGAAAGCAGCACACAAGGACGUAUCUGUCGAUGAGGGACUAAAGUUAGAGGAUCGAAGAUGAUUAGAUACCGUUGUAGUUCUAACCAUAAACUAUAUCAACUGGGAAUUCCAGUAACACCUUUCCCAAGAUUAUUGGAGGACCCGCGGAAAACCAAGUGUUUGGAUUCCGGGGGUAGUAUUAUCGCAAGCUUGAAACUUAAAAGAAUUGACGGAAAAGCACCACCAUGGUGUGGAUUUUGCGGUUUAAUUUGACUCAACACAGGAAAACUUACCAAGUUCGGACAUAAGUAUGAUUGACAGGUUAAUGACCUUUCUUGAUUUUGUGAUAUGUGGUGCAUGGCCAUUCUUAGUUCGUGGAGUGAUUUGUCUUGUUAAUUCAGAUAACGAACGAGACCUUUACCUAUUAAUUAUGUGGCAGUAGUGAAAUAAAUAAAUCUAGUUUGAAAAUAAAUAUUACCGAGCAGCGGAGGUCUAGGCAACCCCUAGGUCUGACAAAGCUCACUUACUUCUUAAAGGGACUUCGUCCAUUCAAACUAGGUCGCGGAAGUCGGAGGCUAUAAUAGGUCUGUAUGCCCUUAGAUAUCUUGGGUAACACGCGCAAUACAAUGUUAGUAGCAAUAAGUUAAAUUAAGAGCACUUGAUGCUCAAUAAAACCUUUUUUGAGAGGAAUAGGAAAGCUAAGCAACUGCUUACUUGACAAGAAUUGUACUUUGUAAAUAGUACAUGAAUGAGGAAUACCUAGUAUACGCAAAUCAUCAUUUUGCAUAGAUUGCGUCCCUGCUUUUUGUACACACCGCCCGUCGCUUCAAUCGACACGGUCGGAAUUAUAAAGCUGAUAGACAGUAUGAGAGAAAUUGAAUGUUGUAAGUUGAAUGAAUUGUUUUGAUU
rnacentral:rRNA from 1 species